UACGGAAGGCAGCAGUGGGGAAUAUUGCACAAUGGGCGCAAGCCUGAUGCAGCCAUGCCGCGUGUAUGAAGAAGGCCUUCGGGUUGUAAAGUACUUUCAGCGGGGAGGAAGGCGAUGCGGUUAAUAACCGCGUCGAUUGACGUUACCCGCAGAAGAAGCACCGGCUAACUCCGUGCCAGCAGCCGCGGUAAUACGGAGGGUGCAAGCGUUAAUCGGAAUUACUGGGCGUAAAGCGCACGCAGGCGGUCUGUUAAGUCAGAUGUGAAAUCCCCGGGCUUAACCUGGGAACUGCAUUUUGAACUGGCAGGCUUGAGUCUUGUAGAGGGGGUAGAAUUCCAGGUGUAGCGGUGAAAUGCGUAGAGAUCUGGAGGAAUACCGGUGGCGAAGGCGGCCCCUGGGACAAAGACUGACGCUCAGGUGCGAAAGCGUGGGGAGCAAACGAGGAUUAGGAUACC
rnacentral:rRNA from 1 species